rnacentral:rRNA from 1 species
ACCGGUGAUAACAGCGAAGAGGGUACACCCGUUCCCAUCCCGAACACGGUAGUUAAGCUCUUCAGCUCCGACGAUACUCUGCGGGCAACUGCACGGGAAAAUAGGACAUCGCCGUUU